CUAAGAUCACGUGACCGCCAAAAGCCGCUUCCCUUCAGCCGUUGCCAAAAUUAAAUACGCUUUUAGUUGUCACAUUUAUGUGCUGUGCGUUUUGUUAAUAACACAGAAACAGAUCACAUACGAUGUAAAUUUAAGGUUUGUGGGUAGUGUAGUACUUCCCGGGAAUUUGGCCAAACCACGAUUUAUGGCUUGCACAAAAACCAUAUACCAUCAGUUAAAGACCUCAGAAGUUGUAGGCUUGUUGUUCCACCGUCCACCGUUCCGCCACUAAGAGACUGCCCUGCCCAGAGGGCCUGCUCAGUGUCGCCAGAUAGAGCAAUCACCAGAGACAGAGAGAGUAAUGAGGGGGACGAAGAGAGAGGGUACAUACCCACUUCAC